GGUUGGAUAGCAUAGUGGCAAUGUAGAAGAUUGCAAAUCUUUAGAGGGCAGUUCGAUUCUGCCUCCAACCU
rnacentral:tRNA from 1 species